rnacentral:rRNA from 1 species
CCUACGGGAGGCAGCAGUGAGGAAUAUUGGUCAAUGGACGCGAGCCUGAACCAGCCAAGUAGCGUGAAGGAUGACUGCCCUAUGGGUUGUAAACUUCUUUUAUAAAGGAAUAAAGUGCGGCACGUGUGCUGUUUUGCAUGUACCUUAUGAAUAAGGAUCGGCUAACUCCGUGCCAGCAGCCGCGGUAAUACGGAGGAUCCGAGCGUUAUCCGGAUUUAUUGGGUUUAAAGGGAGCGUAGGCGGGUUGUUAAGUCAGUUGUGAAAGUUUGCGGCUCAACCGUAAAAUUGCAGUUGAUACUGGCAGCCUUGAGUACAGUAGAGGUAGGCGGAAUUCGUGGUGUAGCGGUGAAAUGCUUAGAUAUCACGAAGAACUCCGAUUGCGAAGGCAGCUUGCUAAACUGCAACUGACGUUGAUGCUCGAAAGUGUGGGUAUCAAACAGGAUUAGAUACCCGAGUAGUC